CUGCCUCCUCCCUUGCCUCCUCCACCUCCGCUGCCUCCACCAUGUCCACCGCCUCCACUUCCUCCACUUCCUCCGCUGCCUCCACCAUGUCCACCGCCUCCACUUCCUCCUCCUCCUCCGCUGCCACCACCAUGUCCUCCGCCUCCACUUCCUCCUCCUCCUCCGCUGCUACCGCCCCCUCCCUUUCUACCUCCACCACCACCACCUCCACCACUACCUCCCUUGCUUCCUCCACCCCCACUACCUCCACUUCCUCCACCAUGUCCACCCCCGCUGCUGCCACCCCCUCCUUUGCUUCCUCCGCCUCCACUACCUCCGCUUCCGCCAUGUCCACCACCACCGCUACCACCCCCGCCCUUGCUUCCUCCGCCUCCACUACCUCCGCUUCCUCCUCCUCCUCCUCCGUGUCCAGCACCACCGCUACCACCCCCUCCCUUGCUUCCUCCACUACCUCCAGUGCCACCGCCUCCACUACCACCGCCUCCUCCUUUACCACCUCCACUGCCACCACCUCCUUUGCCCCCACCACUACCUCCGCUACUACCACCUCCGCCUCCGCUACCUCCACUACCUCCACUACCUCCUUUGCCCCCACCACUACCUCCACUGCCACCGCCACCCUUUCCGCCUCCACUGCCACCACCUCCGCUACCGCCACCUCCCGUUCCUCCACCUCCUCCACUGCCACCACUACCGCCUCCCUUUCCUCCACCUCCGCUACCGCCACCUCCCGUUCCUCCACCUCCUCCACUGCCACCACUACCGCCUCCCUUUCCUCCACCUCCGCUACCGCCACCUCCCGUUCCUCCACCUCCUCCACUGCCACCACUACCGCCUCCCUUUCCUCCACCUCCGCUGCCACCCUUUCCUCCUCCACUCCCUCCAUGUCCACCACCACUGCUUCCACCACCUCCUUUGCCCCCACCACUACCUCCACCUCCGCCUCCGCUACCUCCACUGCCUCCGCUACCUCCUUUGCCCCCGCCACUACCUCCACUGCCACCACCACCCUUUCCGCCUCCACUGCCACCACCUCCCGUUCCUCCACCUCCUCCACUACCACCACUACCGCCUCCCUUUCCUCCACCUCCGCUGCCACCGCCACUACCACCACCACCACUUCCACCUCCAUGGCCACCACCAUGGCCACCACUCCCACCACCUCCCACGCUGCCACCGCCGCUUCCACCACCUCCUAUGCCGGCAGCAGUC
rnacentral:lncRNA from 1 species